AAAUGUUCAAUUCUAUCAUCCAGUCCC
rnacentral:sRNA from 1 species